rnacentral:rRNA from 1 species
UACGUAGGGGGCAAGCGUUGUCCGGAAUCAUUGGGCGUAAAGAGCUCGUAGGCGGUGUGUCACGUCGGCCGUGAAAACCUGCAGCUUAACUGUGGGCGUGCGGUCGAUACGGGCAUCACUGGAGUUCGGCAGGGGAGACUGGAAUUCCUGGUGUAGCGGUGAAAUGCGCAGAUAUCAGGAGGAACACCGGUGGCGAAGGCGGGUCUCUGGGCCGUAACUGACGCUGGAGGAGCGAAAGCGUGGGGAGCGAACAGG